AUGAGGAUUGCUCUAGCGCUUCUCCUGACCCUUACCGUCCUCUUCCUAGCAUCAGAUGUGGAAGCAGAUUGUACGACAUCAGUUAUCAACCGUCCAAAUAAGUGUACAAACGCUAUUUGCGAGCAGUCCUGCGACGCAAGGCGCCAGUCCGUCUGCGGCGAUCAAUGUCGUCUUCAGAAGGCCAGUUGUGUUGGAAAGUUGUGCGGAUGUACCUGGUGCAAUUAG
rnacentral:rRNA from 1 species